AGCAGGUCUAAUAAGAAUUUGUUUUUCUUUCUUCACAAUUAUGAAAGAAAAGAAAUUGUGAAGAAAUAAAUUCUUACUAGUUUUGCU
ensembl:miRNA